AUAUUGCACAAUGGGGGCAACCCUGAUGCAGCGACGCUGCGUGAGCGAAGAAGUAUUUCGGUAUGUAAAGCUCUAUCAGCAGGGAAGAAGAUGACGGUACCUGACUAAGAAGCUCCGGCUAAAUACGUGCCAGCAGCCGCGGUAAUACGUAGGGGGCAAGCGUUAUCCGGAUUCACUGGGUGUAAAGGGAGCGUAGGCGGCGAGACAAGUCUGGAGUGAAAGGCCGGGGCCCAACCCCGGGACUGCUCUGGAAACUGCCUGGCUGGAGUACAGGAGAGGUAAGUGGAAUUCCUAGUGUAGCGGUGAAAUGCGUAGAUAUUAGGAGGAACACCAGUGGCGAAGGCGGCUUACUGGACUGUAACUGACGUUGAGGUUCGAAAGCGUGGGUAGCAAACAGG
rnacentral:rRNA from 1 species